GCGCCGAAUUGGUUUGAUCAAGCCCAUGCAAGUCAUUUGUAGUAAUACAAGGCAGACGGCUCAGUAACGCGUACUCCUUUUAACCUAUGGACGGGAAUAACCUCGGGAAACUGAGUACCCUGUCCGAUAGAACAUUAUGCCUGGAAUGGUUUAUGUUCUAAAUGAUUUAUCGCCGUAGGAUGGGACUGCGGCCUAUCAGUUUGUUGGUGAGGUAAUGGCCCACCAAGACUAUUACAGGUACGGGCUCUGAGAGGAGUAGCCCGGAGAUGGGUACUGAGACACGGACCCAGGCCCUAUGGGGCGCAGCAGGCGAGAAAACUCUGCAAUGUGCGAAAGCACGACUAGGUUAAUCCGAGUGGUUUCUGCUAAAGGAACCUUUUGUCGGUCCUAGAAACACCGAUGAAUAAGGGGUGGGCAAGUUCUGGUGUCAGCCGCCGCGGUAAAACCAGCACCUCAAGUGGUCAGGAUGAUUAUUGGGCCUAAAGCGUCCGUAGCCGGCUCUAUAAGUUUUCGGUUUAAUCUGUAUGCUCAACAUACAGGCUGCCGGGAAUACUGCUGAGCUAGGGAGUGGGAGAGGUUGACAGUACUCUUUACGAAGGGGUAAAAUCGUUUGAUCCUUUGAUGACCACUUGUGGCCAAGGGGGUCUACUAUAACACUGUUUAAGGUGGAGGGAUGAAAGCUGGGGGGAGCAAACUGGAUUAAAUUACCUCGGUAGUCCCAGCAUGAAAAUUAUUGUAAACAUAGUGAAGACAUUGUCUUGGGGACAAA
rnacentral:rRNA from 1 species